rnacentral:rRNA from 1 species
AUACGUAGGGUGCGAGCGUUGUCCGGAUUUAUUGGGUUUAAAGGGUGCUCAGGCGGGGGAUUAAGUCGGCGGUGAAAUUUUGCGGCUCAACCGUAAAAGUGCCUUUGAAACUGGUUUCCUUGAGUGUAGAUGAAGUAGGCGGAAUUUGUGGUGUAGCGGUGAAAUGCAUAGAUAUCACGAGGAACUCCGAUUGCGCAGGCAGCUUACUAAACUACUACUGACGCUCAGGCACGAAGGCGUGGGGAUCAAACAGGAUUAGAUGCCCUGGUAGUCCACGCAGUAAACGAUGAUUACUAGCUGUUUGCGAUACAAUGUAAGCGGCUGAGCGAAAGCGUUAAGUAAUCCACCUGGGGAGUACGUUCGCAAGAAUGAAACUCAAAUGAAUUGACGGGG